rnacentral:rRNA from 1 species
AGAUUGAACGCUGGCGGCAUGCCUAACACAUGCAAGUCGCACGGGAGUAGCAAUACUCUAGUGGCGGACGGGUGAGGAAUACGUAGGAAUUUGCCCUUAAGUGGGGGAUAACCCGGGGAACCCGGAUUAAUACCGCAUGACCUCGAAAGAGCAAAGUGGGGGAUCGCAAGACCUCACGCUUUUGGAGAAGCCUACGUCGGAUUAGCUAGUUGGUGAGGUAAUGGCUCACCAAGGCGACGAUCCGUAACUGGUCUGAGAGGAUGAUCAGUCACACCGGAACUGAGACACGGUCGGACUCCUACGGAGGCAGCAGUGGGGGAAUAUUGGGACAAGUGGGCGCAAGCCUGAUCCAGCAAUGCCGCGUGUGUGAAGAAGGCCUUGGUGUAAGCGACUUAAGGUUGGUAAGAAAAAACGUCGACGUACGUAACACAGUAGAGUCGUUGACGGUACCGUACAGAAUAAGCACCGGACUAACGUCUAGUGCCAGCAGCCGAC